UAAUAUGGCAGAUUAUAUGUAAUGGAUUUAAACCCCAUUUAUAAAGGAUUAUCCUUUUUUUAGAAAUUGCAACAUGAUCUAAUUUUAACUUUCAAAAUAGAACAUCCCCUUUAAUAGAACAAAUUAUUUUUUUCCAUGAUCAUACAUUAAUUAU
rnacentral:tRNA from 1 species